UUUUUUUUUUUUUUUUUUGUAGAUUUGAUUACAUAGAGCUUGAAGCAGUUGAAAUAACCCUGCAGCAGUUGUACGCCUCAUUUUUUUGUUUUUUUGUUUUAAAGUGUGCUCUACAUUUUCAGACGGGGAACGACAAGUGGCUUUUUUUUAAACCUCGUGGGAGGUGUCGCCAGUUUCCUUUCUCAAGUGCCAUCUCCCUUGUCAAACUGGCCCUCUCUAAGGCUUCACUGAAGUGUAUGCCCAGGGAUCGUAUCUGAGUUCUAAGUCUCAUGUCAUAGGUCAUGCCCAUCAAGGGGUUGCCAAGAAACUUGGCACUUUACAGGAUUCAGGCAGCAGAAUCUUCAAUUCACAGCCAGGGCUGGCCUUGAAACGCAUUAAGCUAAGUCCCGGUGGGGGCUGAGAUGGACCAUUGCCAAGAAAGCCAUCUGUAAAGCCCACAAAGUGCCACAAUAUAGAAAAAAGAAGGAAACAAUGAUAGUGUCAACAAAGCAAAAUAAAUAAUACAAGGCAAUCAUGACACUGUAUUGGAGCAAUCUGCCAGUGCAGAUGAAGUAGAUGAAGACAUGCAUGGAAAAAAUUCCUACACUGAUUAUUCUUUUUUCAUCUAAAAAAAGGUGGAUAAGCAGUUCUCACUGGCAUUACCCAUAAAACUCGAGCAAUAAAAAUCACAACUUUACGGUCCGACCAAAGUUAAGCAGAUUUAUGUACCAAGUUUAAUAUAUGUAUUUUUUUUUUAUCACUGCGGAGAUGAUUAAUGAUUACAGAAAAAACUACAAUGGUGACAAUAAAGCAAAAGUGUGUUAGAGAUGAAAAACCUCCAAAGAAAAAAUGGAAUAAUUGCUGUUUGAGGAGUACCAAUCAAUAAGCGGGAGAACAGAAAACAGCUUUUGGCGGUAUGACGAAAGGUCCUGCGACUUCGAAGUGAUGUCAAUGCGGCAGUGUUCACAGACACUCUAAAAAUGCUGAACCAUAGAUUCAAUUGGAGACCAACGGAUGGAUUGAUGAACAAUGAAUACAGUGUACCAAAACAACCGGUUUCUAAACCAUGACUUGAGUUCAGUUCUGAGAUGGAAGAUUCUGUUUAUUUUUUCUAUCUCAAGAAUAGGCUCAGGGCCUAUACUUAUAGUCUUGCAGAUCCUCCUCUGGCCAGAGU
rnacentral:lncRNA from 1 species